UAGGGAAUCUUCCACAAUGGACGAAAGUCUGAUGGAGCAACGCCGCGUGAGUGAAGAAGGGUUUCGGCUCGUAAAGCUCUGUUGUUAAGGAAGAACACGUAUGAGAGUAACUGUUCAUACGUUGACGGUAUUUAACCAGAAAGUCACGGCUAACUACGUGCCAG
rnacentral:rRNA from 1 species